rnacentral:rRNA from 1 species
GUAGUCUCGCACAGAUGCAUAUCAAUAAGCGGAGGAAAAGAAACUAACAAGGAUUCCCCUAGUAACGGCGAGUGAAGCGGGAAGAGCUCAAAUUUGAAAUCUUAAAGGGUUUCCCUUUACGAAUUGUAGUUUAAAGAAGUGUUUUCUGUUGAGGUUUUGGUAAAAGUUCUUUGGAAUAGGACAUCAUAGAGGGUGAGAAUCCCGUAUUUGACCUUUACUUUCAACUUUGUGAUACACUUUCAAAGAGUCGGAUUGUUUGGGAAUGCAGUCCAAAAUGGGUGGUAAAUUUCAUCUAAAGCUAAAUAUUGGCGAGAGACCGAUAGCGAACAAGUACCGUGAGGGAAAGAUGAAAAGAACUUUGAAAAGAGAGUUAAACAGUACGUGAAAUUGUCAAAAGGGAAGCGUUUGACACCAGUGUUGUUUUUCUGAAAAUCAAUUAAAGAACUGUUUAUGCUAAGCUGUUUAGACUUUAUCAGCUAACUGUUUAGUUUUGAGCUUUUCUUUAAUGCACUUUUCAGUUAACAAGUCAACAUCAAUUUCUUUUGCUGUAAAAAAGCUUGAGGAAGGUGGCUUGAGAUUCGUCCUUAAGUGUUUAUAGCCUCUUGCCUAUGCAGUCGGAGAGAUUGAGGUCUGCAGCGUAGAUCCUUCGGGGCUAAAUGCAUUUGUGCUAAGUUAUAGCAUUUUAUAGACAACUUGUUGACUAUGAUUUGUCUUGUAGCUUACUCGCUUAUGUUAUUUUACCUACGCUUAGGAUGUUGAAGACUCUACAGAGAUA